GCUGGGGAAGCCACAAGCAAACAAAGAGCUUCUGGCACAUUGUCACCGCACGCACGAGAGCCCUGGGGUGCGCCUGCGCGGACACACACACACACACACACACACACACACACCAGCGUGAACAUGUUGCAACCGCUCGCGCAAUCCAGCACCUCUCUGGAAUUCGCCAGAGCCGAACACAAGCGCGCUCCUGGGUCUGCUUCAUUCCUGGGACAGAGUGGAGUGGUGAAGAAUCAGGGAUCUGGGAAAAGCUAGCACUGUUUACUCUUCAUGGUGAGUGCAUGGGUGUCAUUAAAGCAUCUUUCAUCACGAGGCAGAUGCCCCGAUGCUAAGAUGUCCCGUUACUGUACAUACCACUAAGAAGAAACAAAGUUAUCUAGUCUUACCUAAACCACAACACACAAAUUAAUGGUUAAAGAGAGAAAAAGAGGCCUCUAUUUCCACACUGCCUAAUUUAAUGCCAGCUUUGUCAUUUACAGCACUGCAGCCUUGCAUGAGUCACAAAUCUCUCUGCCUCAGUUUCCAAGUUGGGACUGCUCUUAGUACCUGGGCCAUAGACUAGAGAAACUGCUGUGAGCAUCGGUUGAGAUAAUGCACUGGGACACACACAUAGAUCUGGGCCCAGGCCAAAGGUGGUGUUAGACAUGGUUAUGGUUAGGCGAUCUGACUACUAUAUUCAUUGCAAUCACUUUUUUUCCUUCCUCGUAGGUGGCGGGGGAACCCAGGAUCUUGUUUUCUGUAACCACGUGCUUAUCUAAGAUUAACUCUUGUCUGGAAAAUUACUGUCACAUAAAUAAAAUAUCACAUACCCU
rnacentral:lncRNA from 1 species